rnacentral:tRNA from 1 species
GCAGGCGUGGCGGAAUGGCAGACGCGCUGGUCUUAGGAGCCAGUCUUCGGGUAAGAGUUCGAGUCUCUUCGCCUGCACCA